UACGUAGGGACCAAGCGUUGUUCGGAUUUACUGGGCGUAAAGGGCGCGUAGGCGGCGCGGUAAGUCACUUGUGAAAUCUCUGAGCUUAACUCAGAACGGCCAAGUGAUACUGCAGUGCUAGAGUGUGGAAGGGGCAAUCGGAAUUCUUGGUGUAGCGGUGAAAUGCGUAGAUAUCAAGAGGAACACCUGAGGUGAAGACGGGUUGCUGGGCCAACACGUGACGCUGAGGCGCGAAAGCCAGGGGAGCAAACGGGG
rnacentral:rRNA from 1 species